rnacentral:ncRNA from 1 species
CUGGCGGCACACGACUGGCGCAGGUGGGUCACCACCGGGGAGUGACGUCGGGGUGCAUCGCCCGCCUGGGUGCGCCUC